UCUAAUAUGGCAGAAUUAGUGCAAUAGAUUUAAGACCUAUAAAUAAAGGAAUCAAUUAAACCUUUUAUUAGAA
rnacentral:tRNA from 2 species